rnacentral:rRNA from 1 species
UAAGACGAACCGUCCAAACGUUAUUCGGAAUCACUGGGCUUAAAGCGUGCGUAGGCGGCCUGCAAAGUUGGGUGUGAAAUCCCUCGGCUUAACCGAGGAACUGCGCCCAAAACUAGUGGGCUGGAGGGAGAUAGAGGUGAGCGGAACUAAUGGUGGAGCGGUGAAAUGCGUUGAUAUCAUUAGGAACACCGGUGGCGAAAGCGGCUCACUGGGUCUCUUCUGACGCUGAGGCACGAAAGCUAGGGGAGCGAACGGGAUUAGAUACCCCGGUAGUCCUAGCCGUAAACGAUGAGCACUAGGUCGAGGAACUUCCACAGUUUCCCGGCCGUAGCGAAAGUGUUAAGUGCUCCGCCUGGGGAGUAUGGUCGCAAGGCUG